GACAGAGGUUGCAAACGUUGUUCGGAAUUACUGGGCAUAAAGCGCACGUAGGCGGUCCGUUAAGUCAUGUGUGAAAUCCCCCGGCUCAACCGGGGAAUUGCGCAUGAUACUGGCGGGCUAGAGAUCGAUAGGGGUGAGCGGAACUCCAGGUGGAGCGGUGAAAUGCGUAGAUAUCUGGAGGAACACCGGUGGCGAAAGCGGCUCACUGGAUCGAAACUGACGCUGAGGUGCGAAAGCUAGGGUAGCAAACGGGG
rnacentral:rRNA from 1 species